UCCAGGAUUCGAAAAAGGGGCCGUUAAGGCCGCAGCCAGCAGCCUGAGCCCUCCGCAACUCCAAAUAUAUAUAUUUUUUGCUUUUGGUUUCGCUCCAUUUUCUAGCCCUAGAAGAAGGAGGCAAAUCUUUUAAAUGUUCUUCCAGAUAAUGUUUGGCAUAUUUAUUUGUAAAUUUGAUCAAAUCUUGUAACAAACUUGUAGUAAAAAAGAGGAAGAAAUAGUCAAUAGGACGGGUAAGGGAGCUAGGGAGGUGCUGAGGACCAGAGAUCUCUUCAAACAAAAAUGGUUUUGGCAUCGUGUAAGGUGGAGAAACACUCACCCAAGGAAGGUCAGCAACAUCCACUUCAUCUUCUUGAAAAUAAAUUUCGGUGUCUGAAGAACUGCUUGAUUCUAAAUCUGAAUCUAGAUCAUAAACCUCAGUACAGGAGUCACUUUCUGAGGACAUUUUACUAAAAAAAUAUUGGUUACAAAAAGAACCAGAAAAAUCUUGCAAUUGACUGGACAGGAAGGAGAAAUGUUUAGCUGUAAUAUGACUUAACGUGAGGCCAGAUAUGGGGAGAGGAAGUGGAGGGGGGAGAUCAUGUGAUGUGACAGAGUACUCACUUGUAAUAUUGAGGUUUUCAAAGUGCUCAGUUAUGACAACUAUACCUGCGUUGUCAGUAGACCUUGGAAGCAUGUUAUGUAACUUGUCACUCACUUCGAAUAUAUCCUGAGUAAGGAGUAUAGCUUGACCCUUGCAGCCAUACUGUCCAAAGCGGCCACUAUAUCUGACAAUUUUUACAAAUGGUAUGAUCCUGGACAGCAACCGUUGCUCAGGCUGGGAGAGUUGAAUAAUUACUUCAGGAAUGGCUCCAGGAUCCAAGCUGUUCCAGUAAGCCUUUGAUGGUGGAGUCUGCUUGCUGCUAUUGACAUGUUUGUUACAGCGGUGGCACAGCAACAAUGUUGUCUUCUGAGCUAAUUCAGCAGGAAGGUAGGGAGCUUUGCUUGUGCUGACUAUAAGUUGUGACCUGAUUUGGGUAUGUUCUCUUGGUGCAUAUUUCACAAAUGCUGUCGCAGUAAGUGUUAAAAGUGUUUGUGAAUGUAGAAAUAUCAGCGUUGUGCUUUAAUAUUCGCAGACGAUCCUUUUCUAGGCAAAUUUUACGUCCUGCAUCUGUUUCAAUUGCGCUUGAUUUGGAUUUAAAAUGACGAUCGUUUUCUAGGCGAACUUCUAAUGGAAGCAAUAAUAUAAUUGUCACGUGGAAAUUGAGGUCUGAUGUGUUAUUUGGAAUAUUUAUGGUAAUGUCCUCAUAGUACAAAUAUUGAGGUCUGAUGUAUUAUUUGGAAUAUUUAUGGUAAUGUCCUCAUAGUACAAAUAUUGAGGUCUGAUGUAUCAUUUGGAAUAUUUAUGGUAAUGUCCUCAUAGUACAAAUAUUGAGAUCUGAUGUAUUAUUUGGAAUAUUUAUGGUAAUGUCCUUAUAGUACAAAUAUUGAUAUCUGAUGUAUUAUUUGGAAUAUUUAUGGUAAUGUCCUCAUAGUACAAAUAUUGAGGUCUGUAUUAUUUGGAAUAUUUAUGGUAAUGUCCUCAUAGUACAAAUAUUGAGAUCUGAUGUAUUAUUUGGAAUAUAUAUGGUAAUGUCCUCAUAGUACAAAUAUUGAUAUCUGAUGUAUUAUUUGGAAUAUUUAUGGUAAUGUUCUCAUAGUACAAAUAUGUUAAUAUGUUCUUUUUUGAAAUCUUCUUCGAUAUUUAUUAUUUUAAUUGUGGGAGACCUACCUUUGGGGAGACUUUAGGAAUUACUUUGAUUUAAGAUGCUCAUUUUCGUUUAUAAAAUUUACGAUUGUGUUUUCAUUUUCUAUUGUGGGAACUUCUAUUGUACAGCCUUUUUAUUAGGAAUAGCGUUGGCUCUAACAAUUUUUAAAUUAGUCAAAGAAAUAUUUUUCUUAAGGAAUUGAACAAUAUUAGUGUUUUCAGGGAGUUUAGAUUCGAUUAAUAUUUUUCCUAUUAAAUUGGGAGAACUUUUGGGUUGGGCUAUGGGAGUUGGUGUAAUCAGGAUAUUAUGGUAAUAUCCUCAUAGUACAAAUAUUGAGGAACUACACUUGUCAUUUAGAAUAGGGGCGUGGAGAUAGGAGUAAGCAGGGACAGGAAAACAGGAAGGGAUCCGUCCGGAAUGGACAGGAAGUUCCUGGAGGAGAUGGAGGUCGAUUUUGGAAGAAAGAGCAGUGUGAAUAGAGGAAAAGAAGCAUGGGAUAGACCUAUUGCAGUUUCGCUGUAAGAAGGAGAGCUUCAUUGUAGGCUAACAAAAGAGUGGAAGCCCUCCUCGGCUUUUUUAAGAUGGUCCGAUGGUCCUGUUGGCACCUGAAACACUUGGGCUUCUGUGCGGUGGAGGGACACUCACUCACACUGUGUUUGUUACCACAGUGGAGGCAUUUGGGAGACGCUGUGCAACCGGGUGUUUUGUGUCUGAGACUGCCGCAUUUACGGCACGGAAAGGUGGCCCUGGUUUUGGCGAGAUAGGAUUGCAUAUCCAAAGAAGAUCCUGGAUUUGUUGUAGAGGAGGGAUGCAUUGAUAGGGCCAACCUCGAAGACAGCGUGUUUUGUAUUGGCACCUGCGUCCAUCGUCCGAACCAAGUUACACUCGUUAUCAGAGUUUUCUAGGCCCGAGAGGAGGUUCUCAGUGAGAGAGCAUUCUGGGGUAUCAGCUUGGAUGUUAAAAACCGUGAAUCUUUGGAGGAAAGUUGGCGGGGGGAUAAGUUUAAGUUUUAACUCAGAAGCUAGGGUAGAGACUUUUGAGAUCAGGUUGGCCAGGUCUUCUUUGUUUUUAGUAGGGUAAUUUUUGAGUUUGUUGCACUUACAUAAAGAAUGGGAACACCAAGGAGCGUAAGGGGAGGCGGGAACCUAUAGGAGUCGGGACCUCUGCAUCCUGAGUUAGGGUGAUGUGAUAAGGGUUGUUGCGGGGGGCAAUGGGGCGGAUAUUGGUUGGCCUAGGGUUAAUCUUAGCUGCAAUGGGUUCAGGUGUGGGCUGGUUAGGGGUGGUAGAGGGUCCACAUUUUAGUAGUAGGGGGGAGGUGAGUAGAGGGAUUUAGUUGGGCGGCUAAAAACAGUGAGGAUGAGAAUUCUAAUUCAUGAAUCCUUCGGGUGUAGGAAUCUUUGAGGGUGGCUAGAAUUUUGUCGAGGUGUGGCAUAACAAAUGCGCCUAGAUUGCUGUCUGUGUCACUGAUAUGGUGACACAGCAUUGUACAGUUGUUGGCCGCCCAAUCAAAUGCCUGAUACAAGGAUUUCGUGUUAGAGGUAAUAGAGUAGGGCAAGGAGGGUGGAGGUGAGGUUAAUGUAAAGUCACGUGGUGACAAAUUAAGGUCCUGUUCUGGGCUUGAGUUUGAUGUGGCUGAUGGGGGAUGGAGAGGGGUGGAAGCACUUACCCCAGGCCGGCUGCUAUGAAUGAGGUCAUCUCCAAUUGUUGGGUCCAGUAGGGAAUCAAACAUUCUGGUGAGGACCUCCUUGUAGGCGGAGUCAGAGUUGGGUGAAGAGGAAUCUUGGGAGGAAGACUGAGAGCCCCCCGGUGAGAAGAGUGUUGAUAUUCUUCCCACACGCGGACAACAAGAAGCAGAGGCAGGGCUAGAUGUUAACACCGAGAGUGAUCGGGAACAGCCCACGGGACAGAGGUAGAGGCCAUGACACAAACUUGGAUGCUUAUCCCCGAGACAUGGAGGGAGAGACUGUGCGUGAAAGACAGCAGCCGUCUGUCGAUGGCCACACCCUACAACCAUCUGCUGCUGACCCCCUGCCAAAAUCUGUCCUGUUUUCCGGGGUCGUCUAUAAAGAGUCCCUGGGGGCCCCACAUGGGCUCUGUCCCUGCCACCAGCUGACCGGCCACUCUUUGGAUCUUUAUUUUGACCUCAACAUUUUUAGUUUUACAUACAAAUAGGGGGUUUAAAUACAAAUAGUAUAUAUACAAAAUAUGGGGUGGUAGUAAAUAGAAAUAGUGUACAUUUUAAUAGAAGGGUAGGAUCUUAUAUGGUAUAGGCUUUAACUAAUUGGAAUAUAUGUGACAUAUACUAAAAGUGUCAUUAUUAUACAGUUUAAAAUAUACAAUAGAAUGUGCCCCCAGGAUGAAGGUUUGUUUGGGGGAAAUGAAAUAACAUGAAUGAUGACCUAACAAACCUAUUAUAAAACCAAAAGAAAUAAUUUGGGCACAAAUUAGUUAAAAUUAUUAUAAAUAUAGGAGUAUAAAAUAGGACAAUAAUAUAAUGAUGACGUCUCAAUAAGAUAUAGAAUCUGAUGAAAGAAAUAUACUUAAGUAGUUUCUGCCCCUAGAGGGGUUUAGGGCACCAUAGGGAUUGUCAUUGUCAAAGGAUGCAUUGCCUGGGGGACUCCGCCUGUACGGCCAUAGAACUCACGCCCCUGAUUCUGGUAAUGGUCGCAUACCAUUCGGUCAGCAAGAAGGGUGCUAUUGCCCUCAUGAGGUCUUGGUGGGAUAAGCCCUCCGUUAGGGCCUCAUUUAUGAUGGGGUUAGUUAGCCCUAGUUUAAGACCCAUUUUCACUUUGUGCCUAUAGUACUCUCCUAUGGAGAGUUGGCCAGUCAGUUUAUAUGACAUGAAGUCACUGAAGGUGACUUCGGAGGUACCAGGGUAGAGGUCUAUCGUCUAUUGAGAGGUCUAUUUUUUUUUAAAUUAAUGUAAUUGAAAUUUAAGAAAGUUUCAAGUAAUAUUUUAGCUGUAUUGUUAUCUAACUUAAAUGUUUUGCAUUUGUUGUGAAUAAUUUGAAUAUGGAGUGUUUUGUCAUUAAUGAAUUCGUUUAUUAAGCUGUGAAUUUUAUUAUUAAGGUCUUCUAAACAUAUCUUAGAGUAAAGAUCUUCAAAAUCAAAUGUAUGAAUUGUUUGAUCUUUGGUAGAUUAUUCGUAAAGAAUUUAAUAAUUAUUAGAAUCGAUGGAUUUAUAAUCAUGUUUGUUAGUUAUUUUAUUUAUUAUGAAUUGAAGUGUUGAAGCUAGUUUCAAAUCUAUGUUUUUUAUGACUGAGUUUUAUUCCUGACGAGAUUGUUCUGAAUGAGAUUGGUGUUUUGCCUUCUUUGCCUUCUGCCUGCAGGAGAAGAAUUGGCUCCGCAUCUCUUGUGGAGAUUUUUUUUUUAAACUUUCUUCCCAGGCUCUCCUUCAACUCUAUAUCUCAACCAAAUCUGUUGAGACUGUAGGGCAAACCCCCUUGGAGCUCGUGGUGGAGUUGGUGUUCUGCCUGAAGAUGGUGAUUUUAUCACCCACCAUGGGCUUGUGACUUGCCCAUAGGCAUGCUGGAGUCUGGCUUGACUACAGGGAAGGGGUGUCUGAGUCCAUCUUGGACUCUGGCUUGGGUUCAAGUCAGCCACAAUGGGACAUGUGGUUCGACCACCAGAAAGCUCAGACCUGCUUGGUAGGGCCAGGUCAUCCAUCACAGGUCAGGUGGCUUGACCACAUGAAGGGGUGUCUGAGUCUAUCUUGGACUCUGGCUUGUUUCUGGCCACCUUUGUCCAUGUUGGAGCACCAAGAAGGAGUUGUCAGAUUAGGACAAAAAUUGGUGUAUGUAAAGAGCAUGUAUGGGUGGAAAAAAACGAUUGAAAUUUCAGAACAAUUUCCUCCCCUUGCCAGAGUGAAAAAUGUGUUUAAUUCUAAAUCAUAUCUGUUCAUAAAAUAUGAUAAAUAUGGUUUAAAGAGUAAAGUAGUAGUAGUAGUGGUAGCAAGAAUACUGGUAGUAAGAGUAGUAGUGGAUUAAGCAUUUGACUAGCAUUUUGAUUGAAAUAUAUCCGUUCUCCAUUCUCAAGAUGCACAGCUAAAUGGAUAACAGCUGGAUGGCGCUGGUGUAAAGGGAAGCUGAGAAGACGCCAAACAGCUUCAUUGCUUCUUAUGUAUCUGGCACACUGAUACAUUCGCACCUCAUUUUAAGGGUCAGGACCUCGACCUUCUCUGCGUAAAUUAAUAAUAGCUUGAUCACUGCCCUUAUUGACAUAUUUGCAAAUAUAUUUUAUUGCCUUAACAGAACUACAGUUCUCAACAUUGAUAUGCGCACAAAGCAUCUUCGAUAGUAAUGGAGAAUAAGGCACCACCCAACGAUUGUCAAUUGUGACCUCUUCGCUUCCACGUAUUUUAACCUUUGCAGUAAAGCCACCUGCUUCAGGUGCGCGUUUCCUAUAUAAAGGAUAACCAUUCUCAUUAGUCUGGGUUUCCAACAAAAAGUUUAGGAUAUUUUUUAAAACAGCUACUAUUCUUCAUGCAGGGGGACACAGGGUUGUACUCACCGCAAGGCCCAUGGAUCAUAUUCUUAACCACAAUGUUAUACAAUAGUGGGUCUUGAAUAGGAUCUGGAAACUCGGCACAUAACAGUGUCUGAGUGGGACAGAGCUUAUUUGCUAGCCAAACUAAUAUGUGCGCAUGAGGAAGUCCCCUUUUCUGCCAUUCAACAGAAUACAUCCACGCAACUGUUGCUCCAUACAAUUGGCCUUUUGUUAGAGCCCCAAUAAAUUUAAGUAAUUUUUGCCGAAAAACGCGAGCUGUGAUAUCAUGCCUAUCCAGCUGUUUUUGUCCUGGUAGCAACGCUGUAGAUAUCUCUUCCCAAGAGGGGUUACUUGUAAAAGUAAUAAAAGAUUUGGACGCCCAAAUUCCGAAAAUAACAAAAAGCAUCCUGCGUAUAUUCUGCCAAAUACCUGGGACUAUUGACAAAACUUGAUGGUAAAAUUAUCCUUUGACCCAAGCUAUUAAGGUCAAUAUUUGCAUCAGUUGACAGGGUAUCGCGCAAAUGAAUAUAAUAACUCUCUGCACUCGUUUCUCUGGUGCAGCGUAAUAUAGCGCAAACGUUCACUUUCUACCUUAGCAUACAUAUCGACCAGGAAUUGAUGAAAGAGCUGGCCAAAUUGAACAAUGACAUUUGGACUAUUUCGUCGAACCAUAAUAAAAUAGCCAUAAAAAUCCAUAGAAGACACUUUACUUGACAAAGGCUGUCUAGUGUUUGGGUCGAUCUGAGGAAUAUGAAAAGAAUAUCCUUCCUGGCCUUUCCAGAAAAUUAAAGGAUAUUGAAGGGCAUCAUAAAAACGAUGAGUGUCGAUAACAUGUUGAAGUACAUUAUCUCGCUGACCUAAAACAAUGUCACGUGAGCCAAACUGAUUACCAGCUAAGACAACCGCAACCUCAUUAGCUGUAGGAGCAUUAUACCGUGUAGGAUGUUGACCAGGAGGUGUCCGAUCUGCAUUUACAACAACUCUGUAUGCAUCACUCAGGAGAUUUUCAAGUGCAGUUUUAAACUGUUGAACCAGUAGAUUGCGCUGGUGCAACAUGCGCUGCAAACCCUGUACGAUAUAACGACGUACUCCCUGUAUUUGCCGACAUCUUCGAUAAGUCUGAAUAUCAUCAUCAUUAUUGUGACAUUAACUUUUAACUUAUUUUCUUCACCUUCAUUCAACUUGAACGUUUUAUAAAUUUUCUGGGCCAAUUGUCCAAUCGAAGCCAUAAAGAUCGCUACUUGGACUUCUUGUGGUUUCUUUUCUAAUUGUACAGCUUUUUCGUACCAUAUAAAUGCUUCUAUCCACUCGUCCCAUGCUUCUUUUGAUGAUUGCUCCAAAGGCUUAGGCGGCUUUAAGAAUUGGUCAGCCAUUUUUACACGAACACUAAAUUAUUUUAAUUAUAUAUAAUUAUAAUAAAAUUUAUAAAUUAUAGUCCUCCUCCACUUGAAAGUGAGCACGCAUCACCCCCAUCAGCAUUUGUUGUAGAGUUUGAAGAAAAAGGUGGAGAAGGAGGAAAGUAGCCAUUUGGCAAAUUGACCGGGCAUAAAGUCAGGACCAUGGGAUUUUUUAGGAUUGAGGGCCCGUAGAGCUAGGUGGAACUCGAGAAUAGAAAAAGGGAAAUCAGGUGAGGGAGGGGAAUAGGGAGGGAGGGAAGGAAGUGAGAUGUGCGGGAAUUAGGAGGAGGCUCUGAAAAGUAGAUGUCCAGGAUGUCCUUGAGGUUAUCAGGAAUUUUCUGUUGAGUAGUGAGUGUUUCUAACCUCCUCGAACAGAACGGGUUGCGCACAGAGAUCCCUCGAGAGAAAUAGCGGUGGAUAGGGCCCCAAGGAUUAUUGGUGAAUGAGGAGCUAAAUUCCCGGAAGUGCCUUCUCUUGGCAUUGAGGAUGGUUCUAAUGUAUUUGUUUCGUAGUCUUUCGUAACCCUCACAGUAGCUUUCGCGGAGAGGAGGAGCGAUGUUUUUCAUCUUCCUGCCAAGUCUCCUUGACAACGUUUUCAGUCUCUGGAGCUCAGGGUUCCACCAGGGGACGGGGGGAGGGAAGGAGGCGAGAGGAGUUUUGGGGGUAAAGGUCUUACCCCUGAACCUUUGUCAAGGCAUUACAUUUUGUAUUAACAAAACUCGUCUCCUUCUGGGAGUUGUCUUCAAAAAGGUACUGGAGGUCCUGGGACUUCUUGGUCAGCUUCUGGGCAUCUUGGCUCUUUCUCAGCUCUGUGGCCCUCUGAUGGGAUUGGGCUUGCACUAGCAUGCUCUUGAGGGUUUUACCCAGGAUAGGGAGAAGUACUAUCGGACGGUUUUGGGAGGUGAAGUCCUCAGCAUUCAAAUUCUUGGGGACCAGCACAACUCUGCCUACUUUCCAGAGCUUGGGGAAAUAGCGUAGAGAAAAGCAUUUGUUGAAGAGUUUGAAGAAAAAGGUGGAGAAGGAGGAAAGUAGCCAUUUGGCAAAUUGACCGGGCAUCAAGUCAGGACCAUGGGAUUUUUUAGGAUUGAGGGCCCGUAGAGCUAGGUGGAACUCGAGAAUAGAAAAAGGGAGAUCAGGUGAGGGAGGGGAAGAGGGAAUAGGGAGGGAGGGAAGGAAGUGAGAUGGGCGGGAUUAGGAGGAGGCUCUGAAAAGUAGACGUUGAUUUGAUAGCUGACAACUCUCGCAUCUGCGUAUAUAUUUCCGGACUUGAGUCCUCAUACCAGGCCAGUAAUAGUCACCCUUUAGCCUUCUCAUAACCUUUUUGACUCCGAAAUGACCACCAGUAGGGAUAUCAUGAUGAUAACUGAUCACUGCUUCCCUAAAACCUGUAGGAACCACCUUCACCCAGGUACCCUUUUCAUUUUUUGUAACAAGGUAUUUAUUUUGUAACCUGUACUCCCUGUUAUUAUACCUUUCUAUGCUACCCGUUUUUGAUUUUGUUAACCUAUUUAGUAAUGGGGCCCACCCUUUCUCUUGAAGCAAACCUUCCCAUAUAAGGGGGGCCGAUGGUCCUUUACCACUGCGGCCACUACCCUCCCAUCUUGUGACAGGUUUGGAUCAUCCUCACACGGGAACCUAAUAAGAAAGUCGGCUACCGUGUUUUCCUUCCCCGGGACAUAAAUGAAUGUAACGUUGAAGUCUUGGAUGAUCUCUGCACACCUAGAUAGUCGAGCGUUCUUAUAAUCAGACCCCUUAUUAUAAGUAAUCGGUGUAUGGUCGGUAUGUACUUCUACCCUACUGCCCGCCAGGAGGUGUUUAAAGGGUUGUAGGGACAACACUACUGCAUAAGCCUCCUUUUCUAUUGUAGAAUAGCGGAUCUCAGGACCUGUCAGUCGCUUUCUAUAAUAAGCAAUUGGCCUCACUGUCCCAUUGACCUCCUGUUGGAGGCAAGCGCCUACCGCUAUUCCACUGGCAUCAGUGUUCAGGAUGAAAGGUAUCCCUAUGGUCGGGUGAAUUAAUAGUGGCUCACAGGUUAGUUAUCCUUCACCAUCUCAAAGGCUGUCUGCUCUACUAUACCCCAAGCAAAUCUCUGUCCCUUUCUUAAUAAGUUGCUCAGAGGAGCCAGGACCCCACCUGCGUUGGGUAUAAAGCGUCGGUAGUAGUUAACCGUACCCAAUAGACUUCUGACUGCCUUGAUGUUAUGAGGUCGUUUCUAAUCCCUGAGAGCGGCGACAUUAUCCCACAUGGGUUUGAUCCCAUUUUGGUCAAUUACAUGACCCAGAUACUCUACCGAGUCCCUGAAGAAACAGCUCUUCCCGUAUUUGGCCUUCAAACCGAACUUACUCAGGCGUUCGAGUACAGCGGCGAGGUCCGCUACAUGCUGCUCGUGAGAGUCGCUGUAGACAAUGACGUCAUCGAUGUACAGGCGAACGCAUUUGAACAACAAGUCACCCAGGACCAUGUUCAUGGCCCACUGAAAGACUUGUGCCGAGUUUUUAGCUCCUUGUGGCAAACGCGUGAAGCGGUAUCUUCCCCAGGGUAGAGAGAAGGUAAAGUAAUCUCUGUCACUCUCCGGGAUGUGAAUCUGGAAGAAUCCAGAAGUCAGGUCUAACGUGCUGAAGACCUUUGCACCCGCGAAUGCGCGCAGAUUGUCUUCAACACGGGGUAUCGGGAACGGGAAGAAUUCAGUUGCCUCAUUGAUCAGACGUAGAUCCAUGGUGAUGCGAACACUACCAUCAGUUUUGGCAACCGGGAAUAGAGGGGAAUUCCACAGAGAGGUACUCCCUUCUAUUAUCCCUACUUCCUCCAGUUCGUCUACUAACGUUUUCACCUUUGAGACUAAUCUGUUUGGGAUCGGAUAUUGCCUCCUAUAUACUGGUUUGCUGGUCAGCAUCCUCAGCUUCGGGGCUGUGAUGGUGGAGCCAUUCCCCAUAUCUUUUAUAUCAUUACAGAAACAAUGGCUGAAAGCCCUGAGAAUAUCUUCGCCCGUGUGGAUUUCGUUUAAGGGUAUCCUGGGUGGUUGAGGAGACAUUUCUAUGGUUUGCAAUGAAGAAAGAAAGGCCGACUUUGUCGGAUCUUCCUUCCUUUCGUAAUCGGAUCUAAUAUUCCCGUCAUAGGUGAGGUGUAGUUUUAGAGCUCGGAAACCUGGUAAUCCAAGUAUGCCAUCAAAUCCUAUUUCCCCCAUGUGGCAAUACUCGAAGGUUGUUCUUACCUCCCUAAUGGGUUUACCAUUCACCAUCGCCCCUAUCUCUAACACCUCACUCCCUAAUGACCUUAAAGAUUUGCCUGUUAUACCCUUAAGGUAAGUUGGUUUGUUUAGUCCCUCAGUGCAUAUUUUUAAAUUAUCGAUAUUUACAAUAUUGGCCUCUGAGCCCGAGUCUAUGAUAAAUUUUAGAGGCCUCUCGCUCAGAGACCUCUCCUUAUUUAAUAUAUAUACAUUUAUGGCAGGUAAACUGGCCGCAAAUCCCCCUCCUGCCUUGAGGCAAGCCGGACCUAGUUUUUUCUUUGUGUCUGCUGGCAGUCCCGGAUGAGGUGCCCUGGCUCGCCACACCUGUAGCACUUGGGUGGUGGUCUCCUUAGGUCUUGUUUCUUAUAGUCCACUCCAGGGUUCUCCUCCCUUUCACAGUUGGGGUCCCUCCUUCCUUGUCUAGGUGGGGAUGGAUUCCGUUGUUGUCCUGGUGGUUGUUGUGCUGGUCUCCUUUGCCAGUUCCUGAAGGGAGCUCCCCUCCUGUUAUCCUCGGUGUUGUCUCCUCCGUAUUCCCUCCUUCCUGCGGGGUGUGAUGGCCACCUUCCUCCCCCGCUAUUUGCACUAUUAUUUGUUUUGUUUCUUUCAAAAAAAUAUAUAAUAUUAGGAUUAUAUGAAUCACACUUGUUAUUUAAAAUUAUAUUUUGAAGUAUUUAAACACAAGAGAGUGGGGUGUGUAUAACAAGUUCUAUAUUUUUGAACUAAUUCAGUAAAAAAUUGUCUUGUACUAUUUGACGUUUUGUAACAAUAAUUGCAUCAAGUAUAAUAGAUAGCUAUUAUGUAAAAAUGUUAUGUGAGUAUGGGUUGUUCCCCUCCAUGAUUUAUUCCAGACAACUCUGAAUUCCAAUCAUCCUCUAGUAUUCUUUCAGUCAGCUCUGAUUGUGGGAUUUUUUUAUAUAAAAAAAAAAUGCGAAUCCAUUGGGCUUUGCCCACGUGGGUUCGGAUCCCAUCCUCGUCGCCAUUUUUUUGUCUUGAAGAUGUAUCCCUCUAGCUAUAAAAAUUAUCAGAACUUAUAAAAAAGUUUAUUUUCCUUCUUUAAAAAUAUUUACAUAGAAGCAAUUUAACAAAACAAAUUUAAUCUCAAAAUUAAACAAUGCUGAUUUACAUAUCUCUCGACAGAAUGUAUUUACUCAAGUCUUUAGUCAAAACCCAAUAAAUAAAUAUAUACACAAUUUAAUUAUUUUUAUAUGCCUGCGUAACUCUAAGUCCAUUUACAUCAGUGGGAUUUUGUCAUAAAGAUAAUGUGAUGACAGCUUUGGCCUGAAACAAGUCUUCUAUAGGUUUUUUUUGUGCUUCUCUGUUUGGUAUUGAGUAAUGGUAACUGUCUGAAAAGGUCUGGUGGCUGCUUGACCAGAUAUUGGGGAAGCUUUUUGAAGUAUCUGUUUUGUUGGGUUAGACCUUGUUGUUGGGUUAGACCUUGUUGUUGUACUUUUUUAGCAAAGUUUCUGAAAAAGCUGGCAACUUUGUAUGUACCAUGGUAUAUCCAGGUCUCUGGAUGGCUUAGUUGCAUUCUGUCGAGGAUGGUGGCCAGUUGGAUUAGAUGUGUUCUGAAGGCUUGUACCGGGUUGUUGACAGUUCCGCUCUCCUGCUUGUUGUUGCUCAUCCUGUUGACUCCUCUGAGAGAAAGUGUAAUUUAGCUGUGUUAUCCAAGUUUCUGAUGUCUUCAGUUCAUAUUCGUGACAACUCUUUUGUUCUCAGAUAGUUGAGCUUCCUUCCGGGCUAAUUGGCCAUCUCAGGCAUGGUCUUCUAGCCCCAUAUUGAGGUCUGAUGUAUUAUUUGGAAUAUUUAUGGUAAUGUCCUCAUAGUACAAAUAUUGAGAUCUGAUGUAUUAUUUGGAAUAUUUAUGGUAAUGUCCUCAUAGUACAAAUAUUGAGAUCUGAUGUAUUAUUUGGAAUAUUUAUGGUAAUGUCCUCAUAGUACAAAUAUUGAGAUCUGAUGUAUUAUUUGGAAUAUUUAUGGUAAUGUCCUCAUAGUACAAAUAUUUAGGUCUGAUGUAUUAUUUGGAAUAUUUAUGGUGAUGUCCUCAUGGGACAAGCUAUGUCCCAGUUAAUGACCUCAGCGCUUUCAAGCCCCAUUUAUUCUAGGGGUGAGACGAAAUAAUUUGUUGGAAUUGAACUUUAUCCUAAACUUUUGGACUAUGUCAAACAACAUUCAACUUGAAAGAA